rnacentral:pre_miRNA from 1 species
GAGAGAGGCAGAUAUUGGCACGGCUCAAUCAGAUUAAAGGGACUCAACUGAGCAUCGAGAACUUUGAUUUGAUUGAGCCAUUCCAACAUCAUCCAUAUCGUA